AUAAAGUUGUAUCCAUUGCAGUAUCUACUCAAUUCAUUAUGAGUAUGAUGCUUAAGAGAUUUUAUAAUGAGAAUGGCUAGGAACAAAACCUAAAGUUAAAUUAAUUUAACAACCUUUAGAACUACUGCAUAAAUAUGAUCCAACCAAGUAGGUCUACUUUUGAGUUUAAAGUCUCUAUAGAAUUUCUAUCAUUUUAAUCUUGCAAAUGGAGAGACCGUUUGUCAGACGUAUAAACAGAAUGUUCUUUGAUUCUUUGACUUGAAAAUCAGUAACCUUUCUACCUUGGAUCAUAAGGAAGCCAUUCACCAGACAGGAAAACGGACAGACAGACUGUCCCUUUGACCUUUUAACCUAAAAACAUUUAUUGGCAAACAAUUUAAACUUACAAAAUUUAAUUUAAUCUGAAAACUUCCGUAACUAACCCCUACAGCAAAUAUGCAAUUGCCUAUACCCAUGAUGUCUAAUAUUAGAUUCUAGUUUUCUCUUGGCAGUUCAUAAUAGCUGAUAGGAUGAAUUAAGAAGAUUCGGAUCUCACUUACUAAUCAUUGCUGAUCUUAGUAUUACAAAGGGAGGGGCAUCCACUUCACAUGCUCAAUUAUGUAAUUUUUACAGUUCACAAAUUUACGCAUUAUACAAUACAACCAACUGCUAUGAAGGUGUAUUAUUAAAAUUUAUAACCAAGCCUUUCCUUAGAUUUAGAUUGUUGUCUAAUGUCUACUACAAUCUCAGCCAGACAAUUUUUUAUUUAAUUUUAAAGUAUAACACCCUGAAAGUAUUCUUUAAGUCCUAUGAUGUGGGAUUUAGUUAUAUUUAAUAAUAAUACAUUUAUGUAUGUUCCAGCUGGAGAGGUUUCUUAUUAACGGCUAUCUUGGAUACGGAUAAUUAUAAAUCAUUUGUAGUGUUUUACGCUUGUAACAUUAGAACAGCUAAAGGAGAGCCCUACAUAAAUGUUAUUACCAGAGACAUCAGAGGACUGACGCUGGAGAAUGAAAGGAGGGUUAACGCUGUCCUCAGAGCAAACAAUUUAUGUCCGGAAAAACUGAUAGUGGUUAACAGAAGGAAUUGCCCACGUUAUGUGUCAUAACAUCAAUGGUAGAUAAAGAUGUUUUCAGCGUGGUCUUUC